AUUGAACGCUGGCGGCAUGCCUUACACAUGCAAGUCGAACGGCAGCACGGGAGCAAUCCUGGUGGCGAGUGGCGAACGGGUGAGUAAUAUAUCGGAACGUGCCCAGUCGUGGGGGAUAACGCAGCGAAAGCUGUGCUAAUACCGCAUACGAUCUAAGGAUGAAAGCGGGGGAUCGCAAGACCUCGCGCGAUUGGAGCGGCCGAUAUCAGAUUAGCUAGUUGGUGGGGUAAAGGCCCACCAAGGCGACGAUCUGUAGCUGGUCUGAGAGGACGACCACCCACACUGGAACUGAGCCACGGUCCAGACUCCUACGGGAGGCAGCAGUGGGGAAUUUUGGACAAUGGGCGCAAGCCUGAUCCAGCAAUGCCGCGUGCAGGAUAAAGGCCUUCGGGUUGUAAACUGCUUUUGUACGGAACGAAACGGCCCUUUCUAAUACAGGGGGCUAAUGACGGUACCGUAAGAGUAAGCACCGGCUAACUACGUGCCAGCCGCCGCCGUAA
rnacentral:rRNA from 1 species